ACUGACACUCUCAUCAUGACACAGAUCACUGCAGUCGGGUGUCCCGAAUAUUGCCACGUUUAUGCGAAGGCAGGCGUUCGGGUGAACCACUCUCAAGAACUCACCCAACAGCCUUGUUAAAAUCAGCCUGGUGAAGAGGGCUGAAUCACUCGCCAUGACGCUUCGCCGCAACCUCCAGCGUAUAGCUACAUGAUCACGAAUAAUGUUCGGCAAGGAAUAAAAUAUAACCGGCUUUGCUGCA